UACGUAGGGCGCAAGCGUUAUCCGGAAUUAUUGGGCGUAAAGAGCUCGUAGGCGGUUUGUCGCGUCUGCCGUGAAAGUCCGGGGCUUAACCCCGAGCCUGCAGUGGAUACGGGCAGACUAGAGUGCUGUAGGGGAGACUGGAAUUCCUGGUGUAGCGGUGAAAUGCGCAGAUAUCAGGAGGAACACCGGUGGCGAAGGCGGGUCUCUGGGCCGUAACUGACGCUGAGGAGCGAAAGCAUGGGGAGCGAACAGG
rnacentral:rRNA from 1 species